AUUGAGCAAGCACAUAGGGGCCGGGGACGGUUCUUCACUGCUGGGAUAUAGGACGGAAAAGGCAGACAGGAGCCCUUGGCCCCAAGGUUUCCAUUCUAGUGAAUCUUUAAAUCUCAGACUCUCAGAGCAAACAGAACCUCUGAUACUCUAACUCUACCUCCUCAGGAAACGGAAGCCCAAAGAGGAGGGGAGCUUACAGCAGGCCCUGGACUAGGGAUUAACACAAAAACAACAGCAACAAAUCUGAUUUAAGCUUCACACAUUCUUGCUCUGUUGCCAGGCUGGAGUGCAGUG
rnacentral:lncRNA from 1 species